UACGGGGGGGGCAAGCGUUGUUCGGAAUUACUGGGCGUAAAGGGCUCGUAGGCGGCCCUCUCAGUCGGAUGUGAAAUCCCCAGGCUUAACCUGGGAAUGGCAUCCGAUACUGGAGGGCUUGAAUUCGGGAGAGGGAUGCAGAAUUCCAGGUGUAGCGGUGAAAUGCGUAGAUAUCUGGAGGAACACCGGUGGCGAAGGCGGCAUCCUGGACCAAUACUGACACUGAGGAGCGAAAGCCAGGGGAGCAAACGGG
rnacentral:rRNA from 1 species